rnacentral:rRNA from 1 species
GACGAACCGUGCAAACGUUGUUCGGAAUCACUGGGCUUAAAGGGCUCGUAGGCGGCCAACUAAGUCAGACGUGAAAUCCCCCAGGCUCAACCUGGGAACUGCGUCUGAUACUGGAUGGCUUGAAUCCGGGAGAGGGAUGCAGAAUUCCAGGUGUAGCGGUGAAAUGCGUAGAUAUCUGGAGGAAUACCGGUGGCGAAGGCGGCAUCCUGGACCGGCAUUGACGCUGAGGAGCGAAAGCCAGGGGAGCAAACGGG